AGCGAACGCUGGCGGCAGGCCUAACACAUGCAAGUCGAACGAAGCCUUCGGGCUUAGUGGCGGACGGGUGAGUAACACGUGGGAACGUACCUUUUGGUUCGGAAUAACGCAGAGAAAUUUGCGCUAAUACCGAAUGAGCCCUUAGGGGGAAAGAGUUAUCGCCGAAAGAUCGGCCCGCGUUGGAUUAGGUAGUUGGUGUGGUAAAGGCGCACCAAGCCUACGAUCCAUAGCUGGUCUGAGAGGAUGAUCAGCCACACUGGGACUGAGACACGGCCCAGACUCCUACGGGAGGCAGCAGUGGGGAAUCUUGCGCAAUGGGCGAAAGCCUGACGCAGCCAUGCCGCGUGAAUGACGAAGGUCUUAGGAUUGUAAAAUUCUUUUACCAGGGACGAUAAUGACGGUACCUGGAGAAAAAGCCCCGGCUAACUUCGUGCCAGCCGCCGCCGUAAAAC
rnacentral:rRNA from 1 species